rnacentral:rRNA from 1 species
UACAGAGGCCUCGAGCGUUAGGCGGAAUCACUGGGCUUAAAGCGUGUGUAGGCGGACUUCUAAGUACCUUGUGAAAUCCCACAGCUUAACUGUGGAACUGCUUGGUAUACUGGUUGUCUUGAGGUACCUAGGGGCGAGCGGAACAAGUGGUGGAGCGGUGAAAUGCGUAGAUAUCACUUGGAACGCCAACGGUGAAAACAGCUCGCUGGGGGUAUCCUGACGCUGAGACACGAAAGCGUGGGGAGCGAACAGG